AACAGCCUGAGCCUCUUUAGAAAUUCAUAUUGCGCUCAGGUUAGAGUCCCUCAAAUAGUUAAGUUCAUGGUUUUUUGCCAGAAUUGACUUAUUUUUCUAUUGACUUAUUUUAUUUUUUGUUUUUAUUAAUAUUUUUAUUUUUAUUAAUCAUUAAUUUUAUUCACUAUUACUCUUUUUGAAUUUUUAUUUAAAUACUAUUUGUAUUUAUUUUGAACUGUCAUGGCAGUAUGAUGAAGUCCCUGGUGACUGGAGAAAGGUAACAUCACAUCCAUUUUCAGAAAGGGUUAAAAAGAUGGCUCCAUGAACUCCCAACCUGUCAGUCUCACUUCUGUGACGAGGAAGAUGAUGGAGCAAAUCCUCCUGGAUGGUAUGCUUAGUCACAUGGAAGGCAGGGAGGUGAUAAGGGAGAACCAGCAUGGCCUCGCCAGGGGCAAAUCCCGCUUGAUCAACCUGGUGGCCUUUUAUGACGGUGUCAUUGCAUCAAUGGACAAGGCAAGAGCCUGCAGUGUCCUCUAUCUGGACGUCAGUAAGGCAUCUGAUGUGGUAGCCCACAGCACCCUUCUCUCCAAAUUGGAAAGAUAUGGUUUUGAUGGGUGGACUUUUUGAUGGAUGAAGAAUUGGCUACAGGAUCGAGUCCAGAGAGUGGUGGUCAAUGGCUCCAUGUGCGGAUGGAGAUCGGUGAUGAGUGGUGUUCCCCAGGGAUUGGAGCUAGGGCCAAUAAUCUCCAGUAUCUUCAUCAAGGAUAUUGACAGUGGGGUUGAGUGCACCCCCAGCAAGUUUGUGGAUGACACUAAGCUGUGGGGUGUGGCUGACACACCGGAGGCAUGGGAUAACAUCCGGAGGGACCUAGACAGGCUUGAGCAGUGGGGCCAGGAGAACUUUAUGAGGUUCAGCAAAUCCAAGUGCAAGAGCUUGCACCUGGGUAGAGGCAACCCCCAUUACCAGUACAAGCUGGGGGAUGAAAGGGUUGAGCACAGCUCUGCUGCAAAAGACCUGGGGGUACUGGUGGAUGGGAAGCUGGACGUGAGGCAGCAAUGUGCCCUCGCAGCCCGGAAGGACAACCGUAUGCUGGGGUGCGUCAAAAGAUGUGUGGCCAGAAGGUCGAGGGAGGUGAUCCUGGCCCUCUACUCUGCGCUGCUGAGGCCUCACCCGGAGUACUGUGUCCAGAUGUGGAGUCCUCAUUACAGGAGAGACACGGACCUGUUGGAGUGCAUCCAGAAAAGGGUGACAAAAAUGAUCCAGGGGAUGGAACACCUCUCCUACGAGGACAGGCUGAUAGAGCUGGGGCUGUUCAGCCUGGAGAAGAAAAGGCUGUGAGGUGACCUGGUAGCAGCCUUUCAGAGUCCAAAGGGGAGCUACAGGAAGGAAGGGUUUGGGCUCCUUGCUGGGAGAGCAACGCAAAGUCCGUGGUGAUAGAACAAGGGCAAAUGGUUUCAAGUUCAAAGAGGGUAGACGUAGGUUAGACGCAAGGAAGAACUCUUUGACAGUGAGGGUGGUGAGGCACUGGAAGAGGUUGCCCGCCAAUGUGGCUGACACCUCAUCCCUGGAGACUUUCAGGCUGAGGCUGGUAAGGCCCUGGCCAACUUGAUCUAGCUGUGGGUGUCCCUGUUCAUUGCAGAGGAGCUGGACAAGAAAGCCUUCAGAGGUCCCUUCCAACACCAAGGAUUCUGUGAUUCUACGAAGUUUUCCGUGUGGAUAAUGGUCUUGCAAACAGCCUUUCUCGAGCCAGUGAGAAGGAUCUGCCUCACCAUGUCCACUUCAUCUUUCCAGUGGUGUAGCUGUUCAGACUCAAGACUUCUCAAGCAGUGGUCCCCAGGGAGCCAGUACUGGGGCCAGUCUUGUUUAUUGGUGAACUGGAUGAUGAGAUUGCGCGCACCCUUGGGAAGUCUGCAGGUGACAGAUGCAGAUCAAAGGGCUGAGGCCAGUUGUAGGAGGCUCAGCAAGACUAAGUGCCAGGUCCUGCACUAGAGGCACAACAAGCCCAUGCAGAGCUACAAGCUUGGGGCAGAGUGGGUGGCGUACGUGGCGGAGAAAGAUCAGGGGGUGUUAGUCUACAGCCAUCCGAACAUGUGCCAGCAAUGUGCCCAGAUAGCCAAGAAAGCCAAAGGCAUCCUGCUUUCUAUCGGUAACAGUGUCGUCAGCAGGCCCAAGGAAGGGAUUGUUCCUCUGCACUUGGCAACAGUAAGGCUGCACCUGGAGUACCAUGUUCAAGCAUGGGACCUUCACUACCAGAAAGACACGGAGAUGCAGGAGCAUCCAGAGCAAGGCAGUGAGGCUGGUGAAGGGUCUGGAGCACCAGCGUCACUUUUAUAGGGAGCGGCGGAGAGAACUGGGAUGUUUGGUCUGCAGGAGGCUCAGUGGAGACGUUAUCGCUCUCUACCAGGACCUGAGGGAAGGCUGUGGCAAGGUGGCGGUUGGCCUCUUCUCCCAGGUAACGGCAACAAGACGAGAAGGAACAGCUUUAAGCUGCACCAAGGGAGGUCCCGGUUGGAUCUGGGAAAGCUUCUUCUUGGAAAGAAUGGCCAAGAGCAAGAACAAGAAUGGCACUGGAACAGGCUGGGCUGCUCGGGGAAGUGCUGGAGUCACUGUCCCUGGGGUGUUCAAGAAACGUGUAGAUGUGUCACUUGGGGACAGGGCUUGUUGGUCUUGGUGGUGGCGGGGUGGCAGUUGGACGGUUGGAGGCAGGGCGACAUAAGAUAGGCAGGUGGAAUCCUUGGGAAACGUAGAGAUCAAAUGGAAGAGAUUAGGCAAUUGGGAAGACAAAUGAGUGGGAUAUGGACCUCAGCUGCUGCCAUCUCAGAGGGACCCUGGGAACAAGAUGGAGGCCAGUGCAAAGCGUGUGCAGGCGUGGGGUGGGCAGGAGGAGGCAGAGCGCCCUACCCAGGCUCCACCUCACAGGCGUGUCAUGGUUCCAGAGGUGGGUGGGGUGCACCGUGGCGCCAUCACAAUGGAACUCAAUUCUGAGCUCACGGGGUGGUCCCACCUCUGCUAUUGCGGUCGUGACCAGCGUUUAGCGAUGAUGGUUGACGGCAGCUCUCUCUUUGUCCCCGCUACCCUUGUCCUUCUCUACGGCCUCAUGUUUCUGGUGGCCGGAAUCUCCCUGCUCACCGUGAUCCCAAACCUGCAGGUAGAGGAGAUAUGAGGCUGGGGGUGACUUGUGGCUGGGGGUGACUUGUGGCUGGGGGUGAGAGCCGGGGUCAGGUGUGUGGGACCCCUCAGGAGUGUAACUGUGCCCUGUCCAUGUGCCCGUAGGCCGGCAGAAAAUGCUUUUGGUGGAGGAGAUGGUGGCGGCAAGCAGCGGCACCAGAGCCAGGUGCUGAGAGACAGGCAGGCAGGCACAGCAGUCCCCGGAGCGAGCCAUGGUGCCCCUGCAGUAAGGCUGACCAGGAGCUCCAGCAGCUGGUCCUGUCGGGACUGCCUGGGUGCAGGCCUGUGCUGGGCCCCGACUUCUGGCAGGCGGCCUGGAGGGACCUGGAGGAACUGGUGGAGCAGAACAGCCUGUCGUGCCACUGUUGCAGCUCUCGUGAGGGCCAGGCUGAGGCACGGCGGCAUCCCGGGAAGAAGCAGCAGGACCACCAGGGCCACCCCAAGGAGUCAGCAAAGAUUCCUUUGCCUCUGGGUGCAGCACCUAAGGAGACACAACGUCCAGCAGCUGCUGCAGCACUUCCAGGCCCAGCCAGAGCAACACUGCAGAAGGACAGCGGCGCUCAAACGGACACCUCAGACCUGCUUCUGGCUGACGCUGAAGCUACCGGGAGGCAACGCCACUGUGCAGUGCCUGACAACAUCUCAAAGCCACAGCUCAGUCAGAUGUCUUGCAUGCAGGUCUCCGUGCACACAGCCAAAAAGUGCCUGGACGUCAAUCUCCACGUCUUCCCUGAGGCAGUUCGGAGGCCCACAGAACUGCUGCAGCAUCCACAGCCAACACAUGGUGCCCCGGUCUCCACACUCAAAAGGAAGUGCCCCCUCCAUCCUGACCAGGUCCCGCGGCAGCAGCAUGGGGCCAGGGCACCAGGAUGCCACCGCGCUCCCACGUACUUCUGCAGCCGUGAGGCUUGGUUCCUGCCCGAGGAGGAGCGCGAGGCCCUGGAGCUGCACACCUGCUCCAUGAAGCAGAAGCACCCUGGGAACCAGCCAGCAGCGUCCUGGGAGAAGGAGUCCACCAGCACAUAUAAGACUGCACCAUCUGAGGCAGACUGGGCUGAGGCAGGUGCCAAAGGACACAAGCGGUGGCCCUGGUGCAAGAAUUGCCCUGGGAGAGGCGAGAGCACCUGGAGCACCAAAGCAGAACGCAGCAGCUCUCCACCUGGCAGCGUAACGUUCUGAGCAGCACAGGUUGAACACCACCACCUGCCACAGCUGACCAUUACAGCUGUGCCGUGACCAUGUUUGUGGCUCCAAGAAAUCGUGCCACUCGCACCACGCCCGGGAUGCUGCGGCCGUCCCAAGUGCGGCCACGACCCCCAGACACUACAUCGUCUGGGGGAAGAUGUGCCUGUUGCCCUAAACGCCAAGGAUCUCUGUCUCUAAGCCCAUCUAUCUGGCUUGAGAGGAGACGAAGGGCCAGGCUCAGCAGUGCCCCUUCUCUCAAAAGAAACCUUUAUUUUUUAAAAUAAAUAAGCUUAUUUACUUGUGCCAAAGGGCUUUCUCUGUGGGGGCCUCCUUGGGAAUCGAGGGGGGCGAGGGGAGGUGGGCUCAGGAGUGCCAGGGAAGGUGUGCUGUCCCAUAGGAGGACAGAGACACCCGGGAUGCUGCGGACGUACCAACUGCGGCCAUGACCCCCAGACACCUCAUCCCAGCUCUGCUUGGAUGGCACGCAUCACCCCUCCAGCCUCAUGUCUCCCACAAGCCACACCAGAGUGCUUGGGAGCUAUAGGUUCCCCAGACCCAUGAGCUCGCGCUCAGGAAGACUCUGGGGCUUGGAGAAACUCCAGGCUGAAGGCAGACUAAGCAGGAGGCAGAGAACACCCCUCUGAAGGUGAGAGGGCAGCCUGGGAGCUCUGUCUCACAGCAGCCAUUCUGCUAAGCAGUGGCAGGAUGCAGGACAGCGUCACCCGCUCCUCCCAGUCUCCAGCCAUUCCCAUCCUCUUUGCUGUCUACAGCCGGGCAUGCAGAGAGCUGUGAAAAGGUUUUACCAUAGCUGUCUGGAUUUCUUGAGUGGAUGGGAAUGCCGCCAGGGGACACCUCAGGCCGGCAGAAAAUGCUUUUGGUGGAGGAGAUGGUGGCGGCAAGCAGCGGCACCAGAGCCAGGUGCUGAGAGACAGGCAGGCAGGCACAGCAGUCCCCGGAGCGAGCCAUGGUGCCCCUGCAGUAAGGCUGACCAGGAGCUCCAGCAGCUGGUCCUGUCGGGACUGCCUGGGUGCAGGCCUGUGCUGGGCCCCGACUUCUGGCAGGCGGCCUGGAGGGACCUGGAGGAACUGGUGGAGCAG
ensembl:lncRNA